rnacentral:rRNA from 1 species
AGAAAUCAACGCUGGCGGCGUGCCUAACACAUGCAAGUCGAACGAGAAAGUGGGAGCAAUCCCACGAGUAAAGUGGCGCACGGGUGAGUAACACGUGACUAACCUACCCUUGAGUGGGGGAUAACCUAGGGAAACCUGGGCUAAUACCGCAUAAUACCUACGGGUCAAAGGAGCAAUUCGCUUUAGGAGGGGGUCGCGGCAGAUUAGUUAGUUGGCGGGGUAAUGGCCCACCAAGACAGUGAUCUGUA